GGUUGUAUAGUGUAGCGGUCAUCACAUCGGAUUCUGAUCACUUUAAGUGAACAUUCCGGGAACCCCGGUUCGAUUCCGGGUACGACCU